CCUACGGGUCGCACCAGUGGGGAAUAUUGCACAAUGGGCGCAAGCCUGAUGCAGCCAUGCCGCGUGUAUGAAGAAGGCCUUCGGGUUGUAAAGUACUUUCAGCGGGGAGGAAGGUGUUGUGGUUAAUAACCACAGCAAUUGACGUUACCCGCAGAAGAAGCACCGGCUAACUCCGUGCCAGCAGCCGCGGUAAUACGGAGGGGGCAAGCGUUAAUCGGAAUUACUGGGCGUAAAGCGCACGCAGGCGGUCUGUCAAGUCGGAUGUGAAAUCCCCGGGCCCAACCUGGGAACUGCAUUCGAAACUGGCAGGCUAGAGUCUUGUAGAGGGGGGUAGAAUUCCAGGUGUAGCGGUGAAAUGCGUAGAGAUCUGGAGGAAUACCGGUGGCGAAGGCGGCCCCCUGACAAAGACUGACGCUCAGGUGCGAAAGCGUGGGGAGCAAACAGGAUUAGAUACCCGGGUAGUC
rnacentral:rRNA from 1 species